GACGAACGCUGGCGGCGUGCUUAACACAUGCAAGUCGAACGGAAAGGCCCUGCUUUUGUGGGGUGCUCGAGUGGCGAACGGGUGAGUAACACGUGAGUAACCUGCCCUUGACUUUGGGAUAACUUCAGGAAACUGGGGCUAAUACCGGAUAGGAGCUCCUGCUGCAUGGUGGGGGUUGGAAAGUUUCGGCGGUUGGGGAUGGACUCGCGGCUUAUCAGCUUGUUGGUGGGGUAGUGGCUUACCAAGGCUUUGACGGGUAGCCGGCCUGAGAGGGUGACCGGCCACAUUGGGACUGAGAUACGGCCCAGAAUGCUACGGGAGGCAGCAGUGGGGAAUAUUGCACAAUGGGCGGAAGCGUGAUGCAGCAACGCCGCGUGCGGGAUGACGGCCUUCGGGUUGUAAACCGCUUUCGCCUGUGACGAAGCGUGAGUGACGGUAAUGGGUAAAGAAGCACCGGCUAACUACGUG
rnacentral:rRNA from 1 species